rnacentral:rRNA from 1 species
CCUAUGGGUGGCAGCAGUGGGGAAUAUUGCACAAUGGGGGAAACCCUGAUGCAGCGACGCCGCGUGAGUGAAGAAGUAUUUCGGUACGUAAAGCUCUAUCAGCAGGGAAGAAAAUGACGGUACCUGACUAAGAAGCCCCGGCUAACUACGUGCCAGCAGCCGCGGUAAUACGUAGGGGGCAAGCGUUAUCCGGUUUUACUGGGUGUAAAGGGAGCGUAGGCGGCGAUGCAAGUCAGAAGUGAAAGCCCGGGGCUCAACUCCGGGACUGCUUUUGAAACUGUAUGGCUAGAUUGCAGGAGAGGCAAGUGGAAUUCCUAGUGUAGCGGUGAAAUGCGUAGAUAUUAGGAGGAACACCAGUGGCGAAGGCGGCUUGCUGGACUGUAAAUGACGCUGAGGCUCGAAAGCGUGGGGAGCAAACAGGAUUAGAUACCCCAGUAGUC